ensembl:lncRNA
CACACACACACACACACACACACACACACACACACACACUCUCAGGAGAGCACAUCUCAAACGUGGACAUGAGGCAGCAGACCUGACUGUGAAUAGAAUUAUCCCGACCGUGAAAGAAGAUUUCUCCGUGCCGUGUCACGGUGUGGAGCUGUCGACGCGCAGAGCAGCUACGUGGGAUUGUGUGUGUGUGUGUGUGUGUGUGUGUCUGUGAGUCUCUGUGUGUGUGUCUGUGCGUGUGUCUUUGUGUGUGUCUGUGAGUGUCUGUGUGUGUGUCUUUGUGUGUGUCUGUGAGUGUCUGUCUGUGUGUGUCUGUGUGUGUGUCUUUGUGAGUGUCUGUGUGUGUGUCUGUGAAUGUCUUUGUGUGUGUCUGUUACUGUGUCUGUUUGCAUCAUGUCGGACCAGCCACAGUGGAGAUGAAGGUGAACAGGUGACCAGGAAGACCCCACAUUGCACCAAUGCCAUCAAGUCUUUUAAAACUGAAGACCCCCAUAGGGCAGCACGGACCAGCUCACUGCUGGAGCAUGGAGGGGAGGAUGAUGAAUGGAUGAUGGGUGAUUGAUACUCACACACGCACGCACAGUAACAUUAUGAUACAGAGAAAGAGAGUCACCAUGAGAGAGAGAGAGAGAGAGAGAGAGAGAGAGAGAGAGAGAGAGAGAGAGAGAGAGAGAGAGAGAGAG